GACGAACGCUGGCGGCGUGCUUAGCACAUGCAAGUCGAACGGUGAACGAGGGAGCUUGCUCCCUCCGGAUCAGUGGCGAACGGGUGAGUAACACGUGAGCAAUCUGCCCCGAACUCUGGGAUAAGCGUUGGAAACGACGUCUAAUACCGGAUACGACGCGGGAGGGCAUCCUCUCCGCGUGGAAAGAACUUCGGUUCGGGAUGAGCUCGCGGCCUAUCAGCUUGUUGGUGAGGUAACGGCUCACCCAGGCGACGACGGGUAGCCGGCCUGAGAGGGUGACCGGCCACACUGGGACUGAGACACGGCCCAGACUCCUACGGGAGGCAGCAGUGGGGAAUAUUGCACAAUGGGCGCAAGCCUGAUGCAGCAACGCCGCGUGAGGGACGACGGCCUUCGGGUUGUAAACCUCUUUUAGCAGGGAAGAAGCGAAAGUGACGGUACCUGCAGAAAAAGCACCGGCUAACUACGUG
rnacentral:rRNA from 1 species